UUUAGUAUCGAUAAAUUUAACUUAAAAAUGAUGUAACACUAAGUAGCUUUAAAUCAUUGAUUCAGAGAAAACAAUAUUCGUAUACGUCUUGUACAGUAGACCAUAGCAAUAUACCAGUCUUCGUUCCAUGGCCCAUGUGGAUUACGAGCCGCGAACCUUUAUAACCAAAAUAGAACUCGCACUCUACUGCUCAUGAUGAAAUUAGCAGCUGAUAUAUACUCGAACGCUAUACUCUCAUGGCGAAUUAAAGGAAACGCGGCGCCUAUUACACGUAUAGCGAGUUAUGAUACGCUUAUAAUUUUAGACAGGCGCGUCAAGUCGAUGACGCUUUUCCCGCCUGUUUUGAAAAAUAUCCCGGCGAGCGGGCGAAAAUAGUCGGUUCAUUUUUAGCGCUUUGAUUUUCCCAUUGCGGGGAGUUAGAUAUCUGAGAAGCGGAAUUUUUGACACGGCGCCAAGAAAGCGACGGUAUCAAACGAUUGGAUCUGUCGAGUUUUUCGAGUAUCGUUUGCAUUUCUCAUUAUUCAUUCACGAGAGAUUUGUUUUGAAUGAAAUUGAACUGUACAUGUGUAAAACUAUUCUACGUAGCAUUAUAUAAUUAAUUUUAAAAUAGCAUCGACGUUUUAAAACAAAUAAUCAUUUACAAUAGGUUCAUCGAUGAAAAUCUCUAUACCACACACAAUAUCCGAAGCGCAACAGAAGCCAAAGCGCAUAAAGUCUAAUCGAAGUCAACGACGCUUCUCUCGUCCCAAUUGACCGAAGAAUGCGCCGCUUGUUUUUGAUCUUCGAGGCAUCGCGGGAAUGACUAAACGCUUAAAUACACCGUCGCGCUGAUGCUGUACGAAAGUGGCACUUUGCGCUCAUUGAAAUCAGUUUGUACACAGACAUGCUCGCGCUUUAUCACCUCGUCGGGCGUUUGUCUGAGGAGGACAUUUUUCCCUCGAGAUUACACGUCGCAGUAGUGUUGCUUCAUUAUCGCAGAAUAUAGAACGUAUGUGGAUGUGAGAUUGUGUGUACAGCAGGUGGUUUAUUUAUUUUUUUGACGGUUGUUAGGGCUAAUAACGCUACUGUGACAUUAAUCUUCGAUGAUCGAUAAAAAUGCGUAAGCUACAUAGAUUAGAAACACUUUUCAAUAUUUCCGAGAAACGUCGCGAUAAACUAUAAUCGCCUAGCUUAUACAUAGGCGCACUUAAUACAAGGGUCGAUUAAAUUUGCCGUGCUCUUUAAAUGCGUGAUUCCGCUCACCGCUUUAUACCCGUUCUAUAAGUGUUCCCAUUAACACUUUCAUAAUCUUCCGACGUCAUCGCGCGCGCUACUCGCGUUUUUUUUUCCAGCUCCGGCGAACGCGAGGUAUUUCAUUGAGAUUCGCAUCUUUUCAAUUUAUUUACGAGCCUUUUAACUGGCCUCUCGCUCGUCUCUCAAUCGUGAGUGAGACUGGCUUUUAUUGAGACAAAGUGAAUAACAUCGCGCAACAAGAUAUAUGCAAAAAAAAGGGAACAGACAACUCGUCCAUCGAAAACACAGCAGCCAAUAGAGCAUAAAGAAGAGACCAUUCAAUUUUCCUCACGGAAGCUGCGCGCAUCUCCCUUAUACAUAUACAACAGCGUCGAAACUUCCACGCGAUCGUCCGAGAAGCUGCUGCAGUACGAACCGAUCGCAUCUUAUCCUAGGCAAUCGACUGCCGACACACAAGCGCCGGUCACGACCAAAGUGUACGAUUGCGCAACCGCGAAGGGUCCGAAGCUUUGUUGAGCAUUGAACGUUGAAGGCGGUUAUUUUCAACUAUAUUGUGCACUCCCUCUGCUUUAUAGAGAAACGAACGAUUUAUCAUUAAUGUAGAAGCACAUGGAAUUGUUCUUGCGAGAGACGUAGAAGCGCGAAGAUUAAAUAUUCUUGCGUGACUGGAUGGUUAAUGAGCCGAGAGCAAGUCUUGAGGGUUUGGCGAAUUGUCGUUGUGGAGAAGUUCGGAAUGUAGAGAGUUGAAUCCGUAGAUCGACUAGCUGAAAUAAAAAAACUACUUUAAUAAAAAAAAUUAACUGCGCGGUAGAAAUAUUUUGUUAAAAUUAAAAGUAAUUAGGUAUACCCUAUACUUAUGGCUUUUUCCAUGUAAUACGAGAUUUGGAAGUUGUCACAGGGUAGCUUCAAGUAUGUCCUGGUACACAGACUCUUCUUCAAGUCACGUCUUCCUGUGUUAACAAAGAAUUUACGUUUAAUGUAGCCGAUUUUAUGGUUUGUAAAAUAUAAGAUAAAUUUUUAUGUCUUAUCGAAGGUUUUUGCAGGGAUGUACAAUUACACGCGAGAUCAUGAUCAUAUUUACGAAAAAAAUUUAUUGACAGUAUCUCAAAUUUUUAACACAUAGUUUUGGAUGUGUGGAUCACAGAAAUGUAAAUAAAUAGAAACAUUGUCAUAAAAUUAAGGUUUUAAUUUGAGCAAUUUACAAAACAAUGUCACUUAUACGUAAAAUUAAACCGAUUUAUUACCACUAAUAAAAUUAUAUUAUGAGUUACAUCUAUAGUAAUUUAUUUUGUCUAUUCAUAUGACGUUGUUUAACCACUUUAAACCUAUCUGUAUAGCAUGACAUUAUGAACAGUAUAACGCAGCUUUUAUUUAAUAUCGAGUGGUUAACGUGAAGCUGGAAUAUUUCCUGAAACUAUUCACAUAUUCGUUAAUAAUUACAAGCACUGAAUAAUAAAUUUUUAAUAAAAUUAUAAAUAUCGUUUGUACAAAACGUCAUAAACAGGUAGCAAUCAUUAAAAAUAUAACAUUUGUUGGACAUCUCCCGAACGUUGUGUGAUUAAUGGAAUUUGAAAUGAGCUCGGAAAAACUUGCGUCGAAAGCCGUUUGUAAGGAAGUGCUGAAUUUUCGAGUCAAGCAUAUUUUCCUUUUCUCGUACCUUAUACACAGCAGCAGAAAAAUUUUACAAAGAAAUUGCAUACAAAAUCUUGUAUUUUAAUGUACAAUUGGCAAGCUCUGAGCAUUACGUAAGCUAUUAUUACA